AAAAAGAGAAGAAAAAUUUUAAAGCUUUCUUUUCCCUCUUCUUUUUCCCAAAAUCGGUUUCCCCCACCCCCCAAAAUUUCACCUGAAAUCUCUUCUUUUUCGUUCCCCAUUUUAUUUUUCCCAAAGUAAACUGAAAGAGAAAAAGAGGAUGGGAAGUUGGAGAGUGGAGAGGCUGGAUCAGUUGCCGACAGCCCUUUUGGUUACCAUCAUAACCAAGCUUGAUAUCUCUUCCAUCUGCUCUUUAGCAGUCAUCUGUGCAUGGGGAUGAAGAUGAUGAUGAUGAUGAUGAUGAUGAUGAAGAAGAAGACGAAGAAGAAGACGAAGACGAAGAUGAAGAUGAAGCCAACGCCGACAAUGAGAAAGUGAAGAUUGCUCAGACUAAAAAGGCAGCGGCAGCAAUGUGUGUUGGAUUUGGCAGCUUCUCUGACCCUCCUGAGGCGCAGGAUCUUGCUCAUUUUCUAGAACACAUGCUAUUCAUGGGUAGUAUUGAAUUUCCCGAUGAAAAGGAGUAUGAUAGUUACUUAUCCAAAUAUGGAGGCUCAUCAAAUGCAUAAACUGAACCUGAGCAUACAUGCUACCAUUUUGAAGUUGAAAGAGAAUUUCUCAAGGGUGCUUUGAAAAGAUUCUCCCUAUUUUUUAUUUCACCCCUUGUGAAACUUGAAGCGAUGGAGCGAGAGGUGCUUGCAUUGGAUUCUGGGUGUUUUUAUUGAGGUCAUUAUUUUGUUGACAAGUGAGGGUAAAAGCUCUCAUCUUUUAGUCUUUAGUGAAGAUCUGUUCUUUAUCCAUAUUCUGCCCCCUAUUAUAUUCAAUACUGAGAUUGGUCAUUACACAAUCCCUAAAGAGAUGAAUAAGGUCUACAAUUGGCUUACAGCAAGGUUGAGGCUUGAGGGAUAGUGCUAAAUAUAGCGAAGAGUUGGGAAGCAAUAAUGGUGAAAUGAGAGAAGAUUGCUUAUGUUACAAGUAGGUAUAUGGUAUACUUGGAUCUGGACAUGUUUCACUACCUGAGGCUACCCUUGUAGAAAUAAGAGGAGUUUCUUGGAAUUGAAGUUGCAAUUUCAGACUGUAUUAGCUGUUAUGUAGUAUAACAUCAAUAUCAAUAUCCAUCGUCUUAGGAACUUUUUUAUUUGUUUACUUUUGUACAUUGGGUUGAAUGUUGGUGGUAUACAUUUUGGCUAAAUGUUAGUGUAUUUUGAUAUUGGAUCGAUUUUUGUAAUAAA